CGAGCGAGACCUUCGGGUCUAGCGGCGGACGGGUGAGUAACGCGUGGGAACGUGCCCUUCUCUACGGAACAGUCCCGGGAAACUGGGUUUAAUACCGUAUACGCCCUUCGGGGGAAAGAUUUAUCGGAGAAGGAUCGGCCCGCGUUAGAUUAGGUAGUUGGUGGGGUAAUGGCCUACCAAGCCUACGAUCUAUAGCUGGUUUGAGAGGAUGAUCAGCCACACUGGGACUGAGACACGGCCCAGACUCCUACGGGAGGCAGCAGUGGGGAAUCUUAGACAAUGGGGGCAACCCUGAUCUAGCCAUGCCGCGUGAGUGAUGAAGGCCUUAGGGUCGUAAAGCUCUUUCGCUGGGGAAGAUAAUGACUGUACCCAGUAAAGAAACCCCGGCUAACUCCGUGCCAGCAGCCGCGGUAAUACGGAGGGGGUUAGCGUUGUUCGGAAUUACUGGGCGUAAAGCGCGCGUAGGCGGAUCAGAAAGUUGGGGGUGAAAUCCCGGGGCUCAACCUCGGAACUGCCUCCAAAACUCCUGGUCUUGAGUUCGAGAGAGGUGAGUGGAACUCCGAGUGUAGAGGUGAAAUUCGUAGAUAUUCGGAAGAACACCAGUGGCGAAGGCGGCUCACUGGCUCGAUACUGACGCUGAGGUGCGAAAGUGUGGGGAGCAAACAGGAUUAGAUACCCUGGUAGUCCACACCGUAAACGAUGAAUGCCAGUCGUCGGGUAGCAUGCUAUUCGGUGACACACCUAACGGAUUAAGCAUUCCGCCUGGGGAGUACGGUCGCAAGAUUAAAACUC
rnacentral:rRNA from 1 species